GAUCCUGGCUCAGGAUGAACGCUAGCGGCAGGCUUAACACAUGCAAGUCGAGGGGCAGCGGGGUGUAGCAAUACACUGCCGGCGACCGGCGCACGGGUGCGUAACGCGUAUGCAACCUACCCAUAACAGGGGCAUAACACUGAGAAAUUGGUACUAAUUCCCCAUAACAUUCGAAGAGGCAUCUCUUUGGGUUGAAAACUCCGGUGGUUAUGGAUGGGCAUGCGUUGUAUUAGCUAGUUGGUGGGG
rnacentral:rRNA from 1 species